GAUGAACGCUAGCUACAGGCUUAACACAUGCAAGUCGCGGGGCAGCAUGGGGGUUGCUUGCAAUCCCCGAUGGCGACCGGCGCACGGGUGAGUAACGCGUAUCCAACCUGCCCUUCACCACGGGAUAACCCGGCGAAAGUCGGACUAAUACCGUAUGUUGUCCAUUGACGGCAUCCGAUUUGGACGAAAGGUUUGGCGGUGAGGGAUGGGGAUGCGUCCGAUUAGCCAGACGGCGGGGUAACGGCCCACCGUGGCUACGAUCGGUAGGGGUUCUGAGAGGAAGGUCCCCCACACUGGAACUGAGACACGGUCCAGACUCCUACGGGAGGCAGCAGUGAGGAAUAUUGGUCAAUGGGCGUAAGCCUGAACCAGCCAAGUAGCGUGCAGGAUGACGGCCCUAUGGGUUGUAAACUGCUUUUAUGCGGGGAUAAAGUGGCCCACGUGUGGGCUUUUGCAGGUACCGCAUGAAUAAGGACCGGCUAAUUCCGUG
rnacentral:rRNA from 1 species